GUGGGGAAUCUUCCGCAAUGGACGAAAGUCUGACGGAGCGACGCCGCGUGAGUGAAGAAGGCCUUCGGGUCGUAAAGCUCUGUCAUCAGGGACGAACGGCCGGUGGAGUGGAAAGCCACCGGAUUGACGGUACCUGAGAAGGAAGCCACGGCUAACUACGUGCCAGCAGCCGCGGUAAUACGUAGGUGGCAAGCGUUGUCCGGAAUUAUUGGGCGUAAAGCGCGCGCAGGUGGGAUCUUAAGUCCAUUUUGAAAGUUCGGAGCUCAACUCCGUGCUGGGAUGGAAACUGGGAUUCUUGAGUACCGGAGAGGAAAGCGGAAUUCCCCGUGUAGCGGUGAAAUGCGUAGAUAUGGGGAGGAACACCAGUGGCGAAGGCGGCUUUCUGGACGGUGUCUGACACUGAGGCGCGAAAGCCAGGGGAGCGAACGGGAUUAGAUACCCGGGUAGUCC
rnacentral:rRNA from 1 species